AAGUCGUAACAAGGUUUCCGUAGGUGAACCUGCGGAAGGAUCAUUCACAAUGGGUGUUUUAUGGCACCCUUAAAAAUCCAUAUCCACCUUGUGUGAAAUGUAAGAGAGGAGGGUCUUUUCCCUUCUCUUUCUUUAACAACCCUUCAAAUAAACCAAUUGAUUCUGAAAACACUAUUAUGAAUUACUUAAUUCAAAAUACAACUUUCAACAACGGAUCUCUUGGCUCUCA
rnacentral:misc_RNA from 1 species